UCGACGAGACCUUUCACCAACCGGCAUUCGUUUAGGUCGUGGUGGUGGGUUUUGUGGAUUUGGCACCACUUGCCGCCCGCCGGUCGUGCUGACGUUGGCUGCUUCCUGUCGCCUCCGGGGCCUCCGAGCAAUAGAGGCUUGUUCCAUCCUUCUAGGCCUAGCGUGGCAACGGCCUUCCUUUUGUUAUUAUUGUCCCCCCAUUCCUUACCGGAUCGGGGAGACCUUUCUUCCCG
rnacentral:lncRNA from 1 species